GGAAUCAUGCCCGAAUGCCCAAGGGCCACUUUGAUAGAGUGAACUACGAGGGUUCAAGCCCCUCUGAUUCCU
rnacentral:tRNA from 1 species